GGAGAGCCCAAAGGAGAUGUAGUCGAGGA
rnacentral:piRNA from 1 species